CGUUCUAUCCCAUGGCUGCGAGGUUGAGGAGAGAUGAAGAUGGUCGUGUAGAGAUCAAUUGCAAUGGAGAGGGAGGUUUUUUUGUGGAAGCAGAAACCA